UAGGGAAUCUUCCGUAAUGGACGAAAGUCUGACGGAGCAACGCCGCGUGAGUGAAGAAUGAUUUCGGUUCGUAAAAUUCUGUUGUUAGGGAAGAAAAAAUGUAUAGUAACUAUAUACAAAUGAGACGGUACCUAACCAGAAAGCCACGGCUAACUAUGUGCCAGCAGCCGCGGUAAUACGUAGGUGGCAAGCGUUGUCCGGAAUUAUUGGGCGUAAAGCGCGCGCAGGUGGGUUAGAAAGUCUGUUGUGAGAGCCCACGGCUCAACCGUGGAUGGUAAGUGGAAACUAAUAGAGUUGAGUGCAGGAGAGGGAAGUGGAAUUCCUAGUGUAGCGGUGAAAUGCGUAGAGAUUAGAAGGAACACCGGUGGCGAAAGCGGCUUUUUGGCCUGCAGCUGACACUGAGGAGCGAAAGCAUGGGGAGCAAACAGG
rnacentral:rRNA from 1 species